CCUACGGGAGGCAGUAGUGGGGAAUAUUGCGCAAUGGGCGAAAGCCUGACGCAGCGACGCCGCGUGAGGGAUGAAGGUCUUCGGAUCGUAAACCUCUGUCAGCAGGGAAGAACGGUCACUGUGCUAAUCAGCAGUGAAUUGACGUUACCUGCAAAGGAAGCACCGGCUAACUCCGUGCCAGCAGCCGCGGUAAUACGGAGGGUGCGAGCGUUAAUCGGAAUUACUGGGCGUAAAGCGCUCGUAGGCGGUAUGUCAAGUCAAGGGUGAAAUCCCCGGGCUCAACGUGGGAACUGACUUUGAAACUGGCAGACUGGAGUGUGUGAGAGGAUAGUGGAAUUCGAGGUGUAGGGGUGAAAUCCGUAGAUAUCUGGAGGAACAUCAGUGGCGAAGGCGACUAUCUGGCACAUAACUGACGCUGAGGAGCGAAAGCGUGGGUAGCAAACAGGAUUAGAUACCCGAGUAGUC
rnacentral:rRNA from 1 species